CUACCCAACCCUACGGAAUAGCUCCGGGAAACUGGAAUUAAUACCGUAUACGCCCUAUGGGGGAAAGAUUUAUCGGGGAUGGAUGAGCCCGCGUUGGAUUAGCUAGUUGGUGGGGUAAAGGCCUACCAAGGCGACGAUCCAUAGCUGGUCUGAGAGGAUGAUCAGCCACAUUGGGACUGAGACACGGCCCAAACUCCUACGGGAGGCAGCAGUGGGGAAUAUUGGACAAUGGGCGCAAGCCUGAUCCAGCCAUGCCGCGUGAGUGAUGAAGGCCCUAGGGUUGUAAAGCUCUUUCACCGGUGAAGAUAAUGACGGUAACCGGAGAAGAAGCCCCGGCUAACUUCGUGCCAGCAGCCGCGGUAAUACGAAGGGGGCUAGCGUUGUUCGGAAUUACUGGGCGUAAAGCGCACGUAGGCGGAUAUUUAAGUCAGGGGUGAAAUCCCAGAGCUCAACUCUGGAACUGCCUUUGAUACUGGGUAUCUUGAGUAUGGAAGAGGUAAGUGGAAUUCCGAGU
rnacentral:rRNA from 1 species